UACGAAGGGUGCAAACGUUGCUCGGAAUUAUUGGGCGUAAAGCGCACGUAGGCGGCUCUGAAAGUCGGAUGUGAAAGCCCUCGGCUCAACCAAGGAAGUGCAUCCGAAACUGCAGAGCUUGAGUACUUAAGAGGAUCGCGGAAUUCCCGGUGUAGAGGUGAAAUUCGUAGAUAUCGGGGGGAAUACCAGAGGCGCAAGCGGCGCCCUGGCCUUGGCCUGACGCUCAGGUGCGAAAGCGUGGGGAGCGAACGGG
rnacentral:rRNA from 1 species